UACGAAGGGGGCUAGCGUUGCUCGGAAUCACUGGGCGUAAAGGGCGCGUAGGCGGCCGAUUAAGUCGGGGGUGAAAGCCUGUGGCUCAACCACAGAAUUGCCUUCGAUACUGGUUGGCUUGAGACCGGAAGAGGACAGCGGAACUGCGAGUGUAGAGGUGAAAUUCGUAGAUAUUCGCAAGAACACCAGUGGCGAAGGCGGCUGUCUGGUCCGGUUCUGACGCUGAGGCGCGAAAGCGUGGGGAGCAAACAGGAUUAGAUACCCUGGUAGUCCACGCCGUAAACGAUGUCAACUAGCCGUUGGGAUCCUUGAGAUCUUAGUGGCGCAGCUAACGCAUUAAGUUGACCGCCUGGGGAGUACGGCCGCCAAGGUUAAAACUCAAAG
rnacentral:rRNA from 1 species